GUAGGUGGGCAAGCGUUGUCCGGAAUUAUUGGGCGUAAAGCGCGCGCAGGGCGGUCCUUUAAGUCUGAUGUGAAAGCCCACGGCUCAACCGUGGAGGGUCAUUGGAAACUGGGGGACUUGAGUACAGAAGAGGAAAGCGGAAUUCCAAGUGUAGCGGUGAAAUGCGUAGAGAUUUGGGGGAACACCAGUGGCGAAGGCGGCUUUCUGGUCUGUAACUGACGCUGAGGCGCGAAAGCGUGGGGAGCAAACAGGAUUAGAUACCCUGGUAGUCCACGCCGUAAACGAUGAGUGCUAAGUGUUAGGGGGUUUCCGCCCCUUAGUGCUGCAGCUAACGCAUUAAGCACUCCGCCUGGGGAGUACGGCCGCAAAGGCUG
rnacentral:rRNA from 1 species